UUCUAGACUAAAGCAGUUUUCUGAAACUUUGUAGGACUUCUCAGGGCCCUUAAUAUGCUAGCACGUUUGGAAUCUUUCAGAAGAGCUAUAGUAUUCAGCUACUGUACUAGUUCAGCAGGACGUGAUUUUGAAGACCCUGCUAAUCUAUUUGUGGAUGUUGGGUAACAUUGCAAGUAAAUGACAUUCACAAAAGUCUCGACCCCCUUCGGUGCACUUUCCAGCUGCCCAAGUUCCCACAUGGAGAGGAGGACCCCAAUCCAGCAAAUCUGUCACUCGCCAUGGUUCUUUGCUCACCUCUUAGGCAUUUUGGGCUCAAUCACAUGUGGCUAAUGUACACCCUUGGUCACCAUCGUUGUCACCAGCAGGACUUGGGACCAGAUCACACAGGUAUCCUCAGGACAGUCACAUCCUUAUCUAGAGGGCCUCUUUGUCCACUACUGUGGCAUGGCACGUGCAGAAGAGGCGAUGGGGGAAAUCAGUUCUGACCUUCCACUGCCUCACAGUCUCAUCACCACCUCUCCACUUGCAUUGCCUGACUUCACCUCCCAUUGAAACUGUUUGUACUUGAAUCUUUGUCUCUGUGUCUCCUGGAAAACCGUGAAAGAGACAUCUGUGUAAUGGGUUUCCUGCAUCAAAUGCUCCCUGAUUUAAGUACUUUCAUGGUUUCUGUUUCCCUUCUUAGAUUUAGCUAGUACACCUCCACUCUGAUGCAGACCCUCCCUUGUCCCAACUCUUGACCUUGAAGGAAGGAGGAUGAGGCCUGCAGGGCCACUGUUCCUUAGAAUGGCUCCAGAAGGUAGGUCUGGGGAACACAAUGUAAAUCAAGAGCCUCUGCAGGGAAUCUUCAUUACUAUCACACUUGGCAUCAUUCAGUGACUCCACAAGAUUGAAUCCAGCUUGUUUUGGGUUCAGAUGUUUUCCUACAGCAAUUCAUUCUCAUAGUAGGUAACUUUUAAAUCUCAUUUCUUCUUUUCUCUAAGGAUUAAACAUGCCCAUUUUAGUCCCUGAGCCAUGUGGCACCUGCCAAGGAAGGAAGUCCAGUGAACCUUCAAUAGGUUUUCUCAGGGCUAUGAGUAGACUACUUACGAGUUUACAGCACCACACAAAAGUGUUGGAGGGGAAUUUACAUUUAAUAGUUCACAAAAAGCAUUUAAGUCACCUUCGUGAGAAGAAAAAGGUCCAGUAUUUUGUUGCCCUUCAUUGCAUUUGUUUUAUGUCUUGUGUCUGUUUUCUGUGACAGCUGUGCACUGAGUUACACAACUAUCAGACAGAUUUGCAUUCUUUCAUGAGAGAGCAAUGCUGACCAAUGGUGGAACUGUGUGAUGUUGCAGCCUUGGGAGGAGGCACAAGGAUAAUUUUGAUGCUGAUGGUCUCUGUAGAUUCAACCUGCUCUUGGAUCUUUAACAUACUGUGGCACUAGAAAUCAAGAAGUUACCAUUAACUGCAUGGUCACCUGACUUGUAGGAGGUCAAGGAAAUAAAGAUGUGAACAGACAAAAAACCCCAAGAGGGGCUCAGAGAGGGAGUGCUGAGAGCAUCUGUUCUGAGAAACUGCUGUUCAAAAUGGAAGGAAAUACACAAAGCCAAGAGGAACCUCCGUCGUGAGAAGAGCUGAGAGGACACAUUGUUAUUUGCUGGUGCUGAUACCAAUAAAAACAUCUUCCAUUUGGAAUAUGAUCAUUACAUCACAAGUCACAUCAUGGGCGAGAUGAAGAACAAUGCCUGUAGGACUCUUAGAAAAGCCAUCUCCAUGAGCCACUGCCUCCUUCUCAGCACCAGUAUUCUGGAAAGAGCACACCUCAUAAAGUCCUCCUGAAGGGCAGAGAUGCUGGGGAAUUUAUCCACCAACUCUUUCCCCUGUGGGCUCAGAGGAGCUCCUGAACAUGGACAUCAGCUUCCUGUCACUGGAACAGAGCCUUCUAAAAGAAAUGGUUCAUUUUGGCUCAUGAUUUGGGAGGUUAUGCUCAUCACACAUUUGGGCCUGAGAGGAGGUAGAACAUUGCACUGAGAGUGCAUGGUAAAGCAAAGCUGCUCACCUCAGGGCCAGGAAGUGAAAAAGAGGGGGUGGGGUUACACAGUCCUCUCUGGGACUCUAAGCAACGUAAGGACCUGGGACUUGGCCCGACCUGGAGUUCCCACUGUCUCCCAGUGUGCCAGCCAGGGACCAAGCCUUUAACACAUGGGGCACUUUGGAGGACACUCAAUAUCUGAACUACAGUGAUGAGACAAGCCUGCCCUGUCCAGAGAACACCCUCAGGCAGGGCAAGGACAGAGGCUUUUGGCUGUGGGCAACCUGCCUGUUGGGACCACAGGAUGAAGGGAUGUUGUAAGGCAUAGGCAGCUCUGCUGCAGGGACUGUGCCUUCCCCUUUUGGCAUCCUCAGUACUGAGACCACAUCUGGAAGUUCAUGAACACUCAGCAAAUGUUCAAUGAACACAGGAAUGGGUGAGGAAUGCAUGCACAGAAAGCUUAUUUUUUUCAAUUGUUAUUGUUUUGUUAGUACACGUUUGCAGUACAUAAUAAUUACUUUCCUUGUGGAGCGUUGCUACAUCUCAAGGUGUGCGUGACACAUCUCAAUUCUUUUUUCAUCCCCUUAUCCUCCUCCUCCUCACUCCUUCCAUCUCAUGCUCCCCCUCCUUAUUUGCAAAAGAUCUAUCUCCCUAUUUCCUACUAUCUAUCUUUUAUUUUGCACUUUACUUAUAUUUCAAGUUUCACAUGUAAGAGAAACUGUAUGAUAUUUAAGCUUGUGUAUCUGGUUCACCUCAAUCAACAUUAUGGUCUCAAGAUGUAUCCGUUUUGGGCUGUUGUACCACCCCCACCAGGACAGAGGAGGUGAGCUGCACAGGCACCAGCAGCAACAUCCCUCUCCCCCUGCCC